rnacentral:rRNA from 1 species
UGCCAGCAGCCGCGGUAACACGGGGGACGCAAGCGUUAUUCGGAAUUACUGGGCGUAAAGAGCAUGUAGGCGGAUGAAUUAGUCAGAGGUGAAAGCCCCGAGCUCAACCCUGGACGUGCAUUUGAAACAGCAAGACUUGAAUACUGGAGAGGAAAGCGGAAUUCCUGGUGUAGAGGUGAAAUUCGUAGAUAUCAGGAGGAACACCGAUGGCGAAGGCAUCUCUCUGGGUCGAUAUUGACGCUGAGGCGCGAAGGCGUGGGUAGCGAACGGGAUUAGAUA